GAUAACCAUAAAUAACCAAAGGAUCUAAUGUUGGCUGACUGACUAGGCGCACCGUUUGGGUGGUGGCGUCGUACAAUCCCCCCCAAUACAUGGCUUUGCCUGCCAACAGUAGAGCUCCGGCCCCCAGGAACAGGAGAUGAUGACCCAAAAUUAUCCCUAGUUGCUGGGGGUUUUCCCA
rnacentral:antisense_RNA from 13 species